rnacentral:rRNA from 1 species
ACGCUCGACACCUACGGAGGCAGCAGUGGGGAAUAUUGCACAAUGGGGGAAACCCUGAUGCAGCGACGCCGCGUGAAGGAAGAAGUAUUUCGGUAUGUAAACUUCUAUCAGCAGGGAAGAAAAUGACGGUACCUGACUAAGAAGCCCCGGCUAACUACGUGCCAACAGCCGCGGUAAUCUGAGCGGGCUGGCAAGGC